GACGAACCGUGCGAACGUUGUUCGGAUUCACUGGGCUUAAAGGGCGCGUAGGCGGCUGCUCAAGUCGGGGGUGAAAUCUUUCCGCUCAACGGGAAAACAGCCUCCGAUACUGGGUAGCUCGAGGGAGACAGGGGUGCGCGGAACUUCCGGUGGAGCGGUGAAAUGCGUAGAUAUCGGAAGGAACGCCGGUGGCGAAAGCGGCGCACUGGAUCUCUUCUGACGCUGAGGCGCGAAAGCCAGGGGAGCAAACGGG
rnacentral:rRNA from 1 species